rnacentral:lncRNA from 1 species
AGGGUGUAGAAUUCUAUAUUGAUGAUUACAGUGACAGGAUUAGAGAGGCAGUGGCCAGUUACAAUUUUGAUUCACAGUCUACAGUGGCAUGUAAUGAAAUCACAGUGAAAGGCACAUUGUACAGAAAGGGGAUGUUUGUUUUGCUUGAAAAGCAUGAUGAUGAACUCUAUGCUGGAAGGAUUAUUCUAGUGGUUGUCGUACAUGAGUCUGUGUACUUUGUUGCAGAGAAACAUACCUUUGCUAAGUUGAGAGACAUUGGUGUCUAUUGUGAAUUAGGAGUAGCUCAAGAUGAUUAUCUUUGUGUUAACCAAGAACAUUUGCUUGACUACUAUCCUCUUCCAACUUAUGAGGUGUUUGACUUGCUACUAAUUGCUCUUCAUCAUGCUUUUCCAGAGGUUUAUUGAGCAAUGUGUUACAGAUUCAUUUGAACUAAAAAGAAAAUUGUACCUUUUCUCUUUCAGAAAAUGAAUCAAGGCAUUAAGGAUUUGGUGAUUUCAAUUUUACCAAGCCUCUCAGAUGAAACACUGGCACAUUUGUUGGAAGUUCUGGAGGAGCUGGGAGUCGAAAACAAGGAAGACCUUAUGUUGGUCGAAGAAAAAGACAUUGAAAAAUACUUGCGUCCAAUACAGUGCAGAAAAUUGUUGGCUGCUUUUAAAAAUGAAGGACUUCCAGUAAUUCAGUUAAAUUUAGAGCCUGUCCCUUCUCCCUCUUCAUCUCAGAGCCCUUUGGGAAGCACAUGCAGUCCAUCCUCACACUCCUCAUGCACUGAGAGCUUUGCACCACAUCUUGGAAGGCCAUGGCAUGUUGAUUUCAGAGUAAAUUGGGAACGGAUGCCUUCAUCUCUUCAAAAAUGUUUGAUAUAGGCAAAACAGGAGAUAUUAUUGGAGAUGGCUGCCAGUCCCUCCUUCAACAAAUUAAAACAAGGGUUGAGUACAAAAAUAGAAACAACACUCUUGCACGACGACGGAGAGAGAGGAGGGCCAGCAGUGGAGCAGGGGCAAUGACAAGAGGCCCAGUGGAUCGAUAUGGGUGUGUGAGAUGGGCUCCUACGGAUCUACCCAGUGGCUAGACCGAGACGACAUUGGAUGAGAUGAAAAUGCGCCUGCACCGCAUGUUUUCAGAGGAUGGCUUUGAUGGCGUAGAAAGAGCUGAGCCACUAAUGGAAAAGACUUACAUACUGCAAUGUAGGUACCUUAAUCAGGUACCUGCACCAACCAUUGACAGGGUUAUAGAAGAAUGGCCUUUUCUGUCUUCACGAAGAUGCCUUUACUCACACUUUAAGCUGCUCACAGAUUAAAUGCAAAUCCGUCGCGUGUUAAAAUCAUUUGCGAAACUACCGCCAGGUGGCGCAAAGGGAUGGAUUGCGAACUGAAUGUAAUUGUAAAAUGAAAGGAAGACGUUAAACAACAAUUACAUUAUAAUAUACAUUAUAACAUCCUUAAAAGUCCAUUAAAAAAAUAGGAUAGUCUUAGGCUACAGUAUACUCAUCAAAAAUUUAAAGAAAGGCCUUUACACAAAGGCUCUUAUGCAUGCUAUUGUUUUUAAACAGUCAUUUUAUAUAUAUAUAUAUAUACGGAUUAAAAUUUUUCAUUUCGGUUCAUUCUUGGUUAAAAAAUAAUAAUAAUAAUAAUAAUCUUCAGGUUCCAUUUGCAGAGCGAAAUGAGAACGGUCCAGCAUUUACAAAUAAUUCUUAUUAACUCGUUAUAAUUCUUGAUUUUUCAAACUGCUAACACUUUGCAUUUUUGAAUUAUGCCUUUACUGUGUGACCAAAAAUUGAGUAUUUUCUGUUUCAGCUGUUUGAUCGCGCUGGGUGUGAAAUCCAAAGCCUAUUUUACCUAAUGAAUAAGAGUUUAGCUUCAAAUGGGCAACAUGUUUGGAUUUGUCCGGAAUGAGAGAGAUAAGCCCAACCUUACAUUAUGUAGCCUAUCGCUUUAAAUUAUUUUA